rnacentral:rRNA from 1 species
GACGAACGCUGGCGGCGUGCCUAAUACAUGCAAGUCGAGCGAGCGGAACUAACAGAUUUACCUCGGUAAUGACGUUAGGAAAGCGAGCGGCGGAUGGGUGAGUAACACGUGGGGAACCUGCCCCAUAGUCUGGGAUACCACUUGGAAACAGGUGCUAAUACCGGAUAAGAAAGCAGAUCGCAUGAUCAGCUUUUAAAAGGCGGCGUAAGCUGUCGCUAUGGGAUGGCCCCGCGGUGCAUUAGCUAGUUGGUAAGGUAAAGGCUUACCAAGGCGAUGAUGCAUAGCCGAGUUGAGAGACUGAUCGGCCACAUUGGGACUGAGACACGGCCCAAACUCCUACGGGAGGCAGCAGUAGGGAAUCUUCCACAAUGGACGCAAGUCUGAUGGAGCAACGCCGCGUGAGUGAAGAAGGUUUUCGGAUCGUAAAGCUCUGUUGUUGGUGAAGAAGGAUAGAGGUAGUAACUGGCCUUUAUUUGACGGUAAUCAACCAGAAAGACACGGCUAACUACGUG